GAUGAACGCUGGCGGCGUGCCUAAUACAUGCAAGUCGAGCGAACAGAUAAGGAGCUUGCUCCUUUGAAGUUAGCGGCGGACGGGUGAGUAACACGUGGGUAACCUACCUAUAAGACUGGGAUAACUUCGGGAAACCGGAGCUAAUACCGGAUAACAUUUAGAACCGCAUGGUUCUAAAGUGAAAGAUGGUUUUGCUAUCACUUAUAGAUGGACCUGCGCCGUAUUAGCUAGUUGGUAAGGUAACGGCUUACCAAGGCGACGAUACGUAGCCGACCUGAGAGGGUGAUCGGCCACACUGGAACUGAGACACGGUCCAGACUCCUACGGGAGGCAGCAGUAGGGAAUCUUCCGCAAUGGGCGAAAGCCUGACGGAGCAACGCCGCGUGAGUGAUGAAGGGUUUCGGCUCGUAAAACUCUGUUAUUAGGGAAGAACAAAUGUGUAAGUAACUGUGCACAUCUUGACGGUACCUAAUCAGAAAGCCACGGCUAACUACGUG
rnacentral:rRNA from 1 species